UCAAAAUAGAUAGACGACAUGAUGAUCUUUGUGAUCGUUGUAAUGAAUAAAAUCGACAUUUAAUCGCAGCUCUUUCUGCAGCGAUUAGUUUUAUCGAUGAUCCAGGCUUCAAUGGGUCAGAUGGUAUAUGACAAUGAUGAUAGCUUUUCAUAUAUGAAUAAAAGCAAAUGUAAAUGGUACCUGGCAUAUGCUUACUUGACAACAAUCUUAAUCGAUUUGUUGAUGAUGAUGAUGAUUGCUGUUGUGUUUAACAUAUGCAGACCAACUAAGUAAUCGAUGAUUAGAUUCGAGAUUCAACAAUUAUAGCAACCACUACAUCACAAUGUGACCAUCAUGAUGAGGAAAAACGACAAUCUUGUCUGAAUCAAUUGCCACUUUGAGAUGUAAGAAAUGCUCACAUUAAUUCAAACAACAAGUUGUCCUUUGUGUGAUAGAGAAAAAAGAGCAAGCAAAGAAAACAACCAUAUCAUCAAUAUGAUCGUAUGAUGUUUGGCGCCACUGAUAUCAACAACAAAUACCUGACGAUUCUGUCGAUUGGAAUUAACAUCCAUAUAUAUAUAUAAACAUGACCACAUAUAAAUCGAAUAAAAAAUGUAAAUUGGACUUACCGUG